rnacentral:rRNA from 1 species
GACGUAGGGCGCGAGCGUUGUCCGGAAUUAUUGGGCGUAAAGGGCUCGUAGGCGGUUAGUCACGUCGGGAGUGAAAACUCAGGGCUCAACCCUGAGCGUGCUUCCGAUACGGGCUGACUAGAGGUAUGCAGGGGAGAACGGAAUUCCUGGUGUAGCGGUGGAAUGCGCAGAUAUCAGGAGGAACACCGGUGGCGAAGGCGGUUCUCUGGGCAUUACCUGACGCUGAGGAGCGAAAGCAUGGGGAGCGAACAGG